CAUUUAAAGAAAAUAAUCAGAUAUAUGUUUGUAUUAAAAGAAAGAAAACGAAUUGAGGGAUGAUUCCACAUAUAAUUACAGACAUCUUUUCAAAGUUAACGAGCUUGAAAACACACAAGUCUUCUUCCUUCAAGCGAUUUCCAGAUAAGAACUCAAGCCAACCAUUUCCCAAGCGCACCCGGCCACUAUCCUGGAUCAGUUUCACGGACCAU